UGGGAAUUUGGACAAUGGCGAAGCAUGAUCCAGCAAAUGCCGCGUGUGUGAAGAAGGCCUUCGGGUUGUAAAGCACUUUUGUCCGGAAAGAAAUCCUUGGCUCUAAUACAGUCGGGGGAUGACGGUACCGGAAGAAUAAGCACCGGCUAACUACGUGCCAGCAGCCGCGGUAAUACGUAGGGUGCAAGCGUUAAUCGGAAUUACUGGGCGUAAAGCGUGCGCAGGCGGUUUGCUAAGACCGAUGUGAAAUCCCCGGGCUCAACCUGGGAACUGCAUUGGUGACUGGCAGGCUAGAGUAUGGCAGAGGGGGGUAGAAUUCCACGUGUAGCAGUGAAAUGCGUAGAGAUGUGGAGGAAUACCGAUGGCGAAGGCAGCCCCCUGGGCCAAUACUGACGCUCAUGCACGAAAGCGUGGGGAGCAAACAGGAUUAGAUACCCUGGUAGUCCACGCCCUAAACGAUGUCAACUAGUUGUUGGGGAUUCAUUUCCUUAGUAACGUAGCUAACGCGUGAAGUUGACCGCCUGGGGAGUACGGUCGCAAGAUUAAACUAAUGAAUUGACGGGGUCAUAGCUGUUUCCU
rnacentral:rRNA from 1 species